rnacentral:rRNA from 1 species
AUUGACCGCUGGCGGCAGGCCUAACACAUGCAAUUCGAACGAGUCGCGCACGGGUGAGCCAUGUCUGGGACAUUGCUUGCUGGAGAGGGACAAUUACUGGAAACGGUAGCUAAAACAUCACAGCUUAAGCUGUGCCCAGAUGGGAUUAGCUAGUUGGUGGGGUAAACGCUCACCAAGGCGACGAUCCCUAGCUGGUCGGAGAGGAUGACCCGCCAAACUGGAACUGAUACACGGUCCAGACGCCUACGGGAGGCAGCAGUGGGGAAUAUUGCACAAUGGGCGCAAGCCUGAUGCAGCAAUGCCGCGUGUAUGAAGAAGGCCUUCGGGUUGUAAAGUACUUUCAGCGGGGAGGCGUUACCCGCAGAGGAAGCACCGGCUAACUCCGUGCCAGCAGCCGCGGUAAUAC